UACGGAGGGUGCAAGCGUUAUCCGGAUUCACUGGGUUUAAAGGGUGCGUAGGCGGACAGGUAAGUCAGUGGUGAAAUCUCUGGGCUUAACCCAGAAACUGCCGUUGAUACUAUUUGUCUUGAAUAUCCUGGAGGUAGGCGGAAUAUGUCAUGUAGCGGUGAAAUGCUUAGAUAUGACAUAGAACACCGAUAGCGAAGGCAGCUUACUACAGGAUGAUUGACGCUGAGGCACGAAAGCGUGGGGAGCAAACAGA
rnacentral:rRNA from 1 species